AUAGAAAUGUAUUGUCAUGAAUAUGCUUGGGAAUGGGUGUCACAGUGAAGUUAUAGGCCUCUGGACUCCAGCAUGUGAUGCCACUAUCACCUCAGACCAAGGCACAUUGCAGGGGCUUCCAAAAUUUUCAGUCUCUCUAGAAAUUUUUAGAUCAUUUUGCUGAACAUGUAAUCAUUUUGGAGAAUCUAGAAAUCUUUAGUUCCUUUAGCGUGACCGGAGGAAGUUGACCAUGGAGUCAUUUUGAGGACCUAAAGAGUCCCACAGAGAACAUUUUAAUCAAAUCCAUGGAUAAUCAAAUCUCUAAAAGUCAAAACCACAAAUGUGGAGGGAUGACUGUAAUCCUUUAGCUGCGAAGUGUUAUUGACAUUUUCCAUCAUGUCUUUCCUCCUAUCUAUUUAACUUGUGACUCAGCAUUUCUGAAGGCAACAAACAGGAAUAGACAUGUCCACCUGCAGCUCACUGUCUUUAUCUCUCAGAUAGGAUUAAGAGAGACAAUAAUGCCACAGAGCAGGACAACCGUGAGAUUAGAAAAAAGUUGGUAGGGCUUUCAUUGGCUAGAAAUAAUAUUUUGAAGAAAAGAAGUGUUUUGCAGUGGAAAAGGGCUCAUCGCAGGGUUAAAACAGAGAUACUGUCUUUCCAAACAAGGAAGGAUGCUUCCAGCAUAGUUCAUGGAUGGAGUCCCAUCAGAAGUAGCUGUGCAAGUAAUACAGAAAUGGCAAGGAAGAAAACUGAAACCAAGCAAAAAGAUCAAAGAAACAAAUACAUGGAUGUAAAAAGCUUCAGCAUGGUGUAGUUAUUUACACAUAUGACUUUUUUGGAGAUCAGAGUGCAAAUCAAGCAUGGAAACUCAUUGAGAGACUUUGGGCAAGUUAUAUUUUCUCAGCCUCAGAGUAAGGCAAAAGCAACCAUUUUUCAAACAAUUCUGGUCAAGAAAACUCCAUGAAAUGAGUUGGAAAUAACAUGAUGACAUGGGACAACAGUACCGACAACUGAAAAGCUUGGAGAAGGAAGGAUUUAAAUUAAAUAUAUAGAUUAUAUAUAUACAUCAAUCGACAAACCAGUAAAAUAGAAAAGACUGUU